rnacentral:misc_RNA from 1 species
GUCACUGCACCCAUGCCU